CUUAAGGAACAAGGCCAUUUUCAUUGUGUGGAGAACAGUGGUGUUUGAAAUAGCAGGAACAGGCAGAAAGGAGGUUUGGUCACCUUAUUUUAAACAGCUAAAGCCACCCAAAUCUCUAUUUCUGUUCUCUCAUACCUGGAGUCCCAGCUACUUGGGAGGCUGAUGUGGGAGGAUCACUUGAGCGCAGGAGUUUGAGGCUGCAGUGAGCCAUGAUUGUGCCACUGCACUCCAGCCUGGGUGGCAGAGAGAGAUCCUAUAUCCAGUUCGAAUACAUAGCCAUGUCAGUGGGAAGGAAAAACAGUUGCUCCUUUGGUAGAAAUGGCUACUGGAGGAAAUUUGAUUCAUUGAAGAACUUGGCUUGGGAAUUUGCAGACUGGUAGCACUCAUCAAGGCCUUGGAGAUCUUCGGAUUCUACCCCCUCAUCUUGGAAUCAGGAAACUGCAGGGGAUUGCCCAGGGGCACAGAUGUCCCAGGCUCCUGGGUGGGUUGGAACCAUCAAGCUCCCUGAAGAAAGGCUCCCAAGACAGGGAACAUAAUUAUUCCCCCAGGACAGAGUUGGACUUCAAGUGCAGCUUUCCACCAU
rnacentral:lncRNA from 1 species